rnacentral:lncRNA from 1 species
GCAAUUUGUGCUGAGCGAAGAUCACUUUGCCUUUCAACUUGCAGAAAUCGUGUUCCUAUACAUGUAUGUGACAUCAUUUGCAACAAUGUACGUACAUGAUUAUUGCACAUUAUAAGUCAUGUUUACGUUGGAAAUGAAAUAUGACAGUUUGUAACCAUAUAAUAUUUCCAAAUAAGGUCAAUGCCUUGUUUAAUUUAAUUAACAAAAUAGAUGAUUAUUUUCUACAUUCCUGAUUCCAUACGGCGCAUUGUGUGAAAUGUAUCGAAAUGCAGCUCAAAAGCGAGCAAGAUAUGUCUGAUCAGGACCGCCGAGAAGGGGGGAGGCAGGGGGGGAGGCAAAUUACCCCGUGCUCCCAGGUUCUGGGGGCCCCUAGAAAAUUUUUGUUGGGACCCAGUCAUUUUUUUGGGUGAAACAUUUCCGCGCAAAGGGCAAGAUUUUUGUUUUUUUUGGCAAAGUACCGAAAUUUCGUAUGAAAAAUAUUGGUCAAGUCACUGGAAAGCAAUUACAACGCAUUAGGGCCCCCUAAAAAUAGGGGCCCCUAAAAAAAAUUUGCUCCGGGCCACCGCCAAGCUCUCGGCGGCCCUGUGUCUGAUGCAAAUAUCUGAACAUUUUUUCUGAAUAUAGGUUAUGAAAUCUUUACGUAGAAACGUCUGUGAUAGUAGAUGCACAAUACUCCCUGUUGGACACCAACGAAGUACAUGCUAUAGAACGUGCUAUAUUGUAAGUAUAGAGACUUAUUAAUCAGAGCGCUGGCUGGCGCAGGAGCUUCGAAUCAAAAUGCGAAACUGUAAUAAAAGUGUGCAUGGGAAUUAGAAACAUAUGCCAGAAAGGGUUGCAUCGGAUAUAUCGAUGUGAAACAUUUCCAGACGUAUACCGGAUACUUUUAUAUAAAGUUUGAUAUUUAGUUUAUAGAUGCUGUAAAUUCUGUAAUGUAAACAAACACUUUAUUUACAUUUUGAACUAAGUUCUACAGUUCUAAAAUAUGAUUAAAUAAUUAUAUCUUAUAUCGAAUUUUUAACAUUAAUUCUUCUGGUUUGCUAUGCUUGUAAAUGAAUACAGACUGGAGAUACGUUUCAAAAAGAUUCGGAAGGUGCGAAAUAUUAGUAACAUUCCAAUGGUCGGGUUCCGACCAUUGGGAAGUAGGUCUGCGCAGAAUGGACUUUACAGCAUCUUUAAGGUAAAAUAAUGAUUUUCAAUGGUUAGAGAAUUAAAGAGGGUGUUUAUGAUUUUUUGACUUGAAGAAAUAGGAAACGACUUCACAGUUAAAUAUAGAAAAAUUUGCAUAAUUGCCUUUGCCAAUGCCCACAUAUUUCAAAGGUAAAAUCCGCUUUUUGGCAUUCUUACUUGGCAAGUUAGAGAUCAAAUUGAUACAGGGCGCAGUAAGGGUAAGCUUGAGAGGGGUGCCAUGUUUCAUUUUUUCAAGCUGUGUCUAUAAUAUAUUGAGUGUAGUGCAAGUGUUUCAUACCAAACCCACAGUUUCAAAAUUUCUACGAAUCAACACUUGUUUAUUUUUAAAGUGAAACCACACUUUAUAGAAGUAAACUAAAGUAUCACUCCUCACAUACACAUGUUGGCGUCUUUGUCCCCCUGCUUCCUCCUACAAUGUUGAUGUUGACAUUCAUUCCACAACGUUUUCACCUAGCAUUUUUAAUAAGCUUUCAACAUUGAGCGGGAGGGAGAGGAGGGAGAGGAGGGAGAGGAUGGAGUAGAGGGAGAGGAGGGAAAAGAGGGAGAGGAGGAAGAGGAGGAAGAGGAGGAAGAGGAGGGAGGGAGGGAUUUGGAAGUUAAAAAUUGCUGUUUUUACACGUUUGUAUUGUGCAAGGAUGGUAUUUCUAUUUCCAUGCGGCUGUUCACAAUAACUUUUGCCAGGAUCGUAGAUAGAAGGACUAAAAAUAGCUUUUUUCCUUUUUCCCUAGUGCUUCCCUAUUUGAUUGUUACCAGAAGAUGCGCAGUUUUGAAUAAAUUUAUGUCUCAAAUAAUAUUUCAUUAUGACUAUACGUAGAUCGCUUUAACGAUGAAAUCGUAUAUACUGUAAUUAGUAUUAAAAAACAUAGGUAUUAUAUUAAAUACAUCAUAUAUUGUAUAAUUUUAAAACAUAAUUUAAUUGAAUUUUUCAUUAAAAUUGUUUUGUGUGGAUACUGACAGAAUCUUUCGCAUUUCGAAUCUGUCGUUUUACGGAAACAAAAAUUCAAGCUUGCAUUGAACAACAUACAUAAUUUUAGUGUGCAG